UCAUAUUAUUUGAGUAACCAAGUGGCUUUUUUUACAGAUACUGUGCAUCUUCCUCUUGCACAAAGGGCAGAUGUAAUGAUUUUAAGCGGCAUCAUUGAAGCUGGGCAGACAAAUGCUGACAAAAAAGGCCUCCAACCACCAGGAGGGCAACGCAGCCUUCACUGCCCAUGAGAGCUGACAAGUGCUGAUGACUUGAAGGCUGUGACCAUACAGUCCUGUCUGACACUGAUCUGGGGCUGGGAGUGAGAGCUGUUUCUGCCUCCUCGUGUCCUCCAUUAUCCACUGGAUGAGUGACCACACACUGACAAUCCAUGCUCAUCUACACCAGCCCACGCCAGCCAAUCAGCAGGAAGGUGUCACUGCAGACCCGGACUGCUAAAUGGGUGCCUUCUUCUGCAUUGGACUCAAAGUAAGCACAAACCAAAGGACAGAAAUAAUCAAAACAAGUUGCUAUUGAAUAGGAUUCGCAAGUGAGGAUUCUUUCAAGCAGAAGGCUGAGGCUGAAAAGUGAAAGCUGCAAAGGCUUUUUGACUUUUUAAGAGAAAAAUACUGCCUCAUCUUUUCUCCUGUGUACAUUGGUACCCUCUCUGCUU
rnacentral:lncRNA from 1 species